AUGCAAGUCCAUGAGGAGCAGAAAAAUCUGUGUGUGGGGCACACCUCAUGGUCUAGGAUGCUUCACAGUCGUCUAGGAAGGCUAUGGGACUUCAGCUUCCAAUUGAGGCACUUUUUAAGGAGGGAGGGUUUUCAUCACCAAUGUCGUUUCGUCAUCGUGCAAGGCUCCAUCCACCACAAGUACUAUCACAACUUCGAUCAGGGCUAUGUUGGCAACGACCACUUCCGCGGUGCCUCUUGGGAUGGAGUCACCAUCGGCCAUGGCUACUCCAACCUCAUCGUUCAAGUCAACCCCGACUUCGACUAUCACCAAGACUUCAAGCUAGUCAAGGAACGCCGCAUGCAAUGGGAUCCUGGCAGCUCUCGGUGGUGUCGGCUUGGGUUGAAGCCGCAUUUCAAGGAGGGGGAUGUUAGGAGCCCUCCUACCAUCACAUGCUUGGGCUAG
rnacentral:rRNA from 1 species